AUUCAUUCUUUUCAACUUUAUCAAUAACUGCUUAUGCUUCAAUAAAAAAACGCACCUCCUUCUCUCCAUAACGAAGCUGAAUACCUUCGAUGGUCUCAGUCAAACCUAAGAAGAACCUGUUGUCGAAAUCCAUCGAGCUUUAGACCACCGUGCUUUGAAGUCAGCUAAAGGGUUUGCAUUGAAGGUUGCACCGUUGUGGAACAUUGAAAUCUAGGUGAGUAAAUGGUGCCUCGUAUUAUCAUUACUAGAUUAUUUGCGUCCUUCACACACCACAGAAGCACCCAAUUCCAAUUGGGUUCUCUGCUGCAACACAAGCACAAUGCUUUUCUUUUUAGGUUCAACACAUUCACCUCUGGUGGGGACACCCGCAAAGGUGACACCUUUACCGUGAUUUACCUCAUCAACUCAUGUGGGUUGUCCCUGGAAUUGGCCAGGAAAGUCUCCAAGAGUGUGAAUUUGAAAACCCCAGAUGGUCCAAAUGCUGUUAUUAACACUCUCAAGAACUAUGGAUUCUCCGAAACUCAGGUUGCAAAACUUGUCGAGAAGAAUCCCCGUGUGCUUGUUGCAAAGGUGGAGAAGACCCUUUUGCCCAAACUCAAGUUCUUCCACUCUAUUGGGGUUUCCAACACUGACGUGCCUAAGAUCGUGAAUGAAUGUCCUUCAAUCUUGCGGAGGAGUCUGGGAAAAUGCCUUCUGCCACGAUACGAGAUUAUCAGGAGUAUAGUUCGUGAUGAUCUGGAAGUUGUUAGAAUUUUGAGAAAAUCUCCAGUUGGUUUCAUAAUGUGUGACCUAAAGAAAUGCUUGAUUCCAAACAUUAAGGUUUUGAGGCAGUCUGGGGUUCCUCAGGGUUCAAUCUCUCUGCUGAUGGUCAACUUCCCUUCUGCAACAUUGAUGAAGCAUUCCAGAUUUGUUAAAGUUGUCGAGAGAAUUAAGAAAUUGGGGUUUGACCCUACGAGAACAAGUUUUGUCAUGGGUGUCCAAGUGCUUUUAACAAUGCGUAAAGCGGCAUGGGAAUCGAGAUUUGAGAUUUAUAAGAGGUGGGACUGGAACAGGGAAAUAGUUCUUCAAGCGUUUCUGAAGUAUCCCAAUUUUAUAAAAUUGACCGACGAGACAAUUACGAAAAAAAUGACUUUCCUAGUUAAGGAUAUGGGUUUGCCAUCAUUGGAAAUUGCCGCAUAUCCUCCAGUUCUAGUCUACAACUUGGAGAAGAGGAUUAUCCCUAGAUUCUCAAUAAUUAAAAUCUUGAAAUCAAAAGGUUUGGUUAGGAGGAGUUUGAGUUUUGGUUACUAUAUGGGCAUUAAGGAGAAUGUUUUUUUGAAGAAAUAUGUCGAUAGCUUUAAGGAACAUUUGCCUCUCUUACCAGAUGUCUACAAAGGAUUGAUUCAUCGUGAUGACGUAAUGUAGACUUUGAAGGUAUAUGCAGGCCAUUUUUCUAACUUUUAACUCUUCUAUUUCAGUUCUAAAGUGAACUUAAGUUCUGUCUGCUUUUGUUUUUUGUGUCGAUAUAGUGAGUUUUGUUUUGCUUAAACAGGAUGGAAUUUUGUUCAGAUUUAUAGCAUAUGGGUUUUAUAAUCAAAUAUAUAAAUCUACUUACUGGCGAUAUUCAACUUAAUUAUCUUGAUUGUUUAUCUAUUUUACAGUUUCAGUCAAAUAUAAUCGCAUUAAGUUAUGCUAGUUUUACAAUUCUUUAAUAAAUGAAUUUUGUUUAGUUGUCUUCCAGGCCCAAGCUUACGACUCUUUUCAACUUGAAAUUUGUCACUAUAUCUUGUCAUGUCAGUGCAUACUGCAUACUGUUAUAGGAAGUCAUGGAUACGUAUAGUUUUGAACUUUUCUCAACUUCUAGUUAUCUUUUCAGUAGCAUAUUAUACUGUUGUUAGGAAAGAUCGAGUGUCGUGUUCUUUCUCAUUGAAUGGAGCAUUUGCCUUAGCCAAAGGUUUUAGCAGAAGAGAUGUUAAGGGCAGAGCUUUGUUUCCUUAAAUUUUUUCGGAGCUGCUUCUAGUUUAAAGGGUUGCACCAUCUACAAGUAUUAUGGAGUGGGAUGUUUAACCCAUGGAAACCAGAAGUUGAAGCAGACUGGUUAUUGCAAAAACCACUUCAUGUGUGUGAAAUGUGAAUGGUAUUCUUGGGAGGGAGGGAGUUUUGGUUUCUGAAAUGAUCGAUAUUGGAGUAAUGAGGUAUUUUUGGGAAUGGAAAUGCAUUACCCUGAAGAAGGAAAAACACAAAGUUGAAAGUUUGUAAUCUUGAUUAAACUCCUUUUGUAGUAAAUGAAAAGUUUUCGAGAAUGAUGGUGAUGGGAAAACCAAUGUAACUCAGUAUGAAAGUUAUUUGACUGUCUGUUUCACUUGACUGCAGCUAUACCAAAGUUCAUCUACUCGUCAUGUUUGGCACACUUUGGUAUAGAUAAAAGAGUGUUGAGACAUUUAUGGAAAUAUUGGAAGUUAUGUUUA